rnacentral:rRNA from 1 species
GACGAACGCUGGCGGCGUGCUUAACACAUGCAAGUCGAACGGAAAGGCCCUGCUUUUGUGGGGUGCUCGAGUGGCGAACGGGUGAGUAACACGUGGGUAACCUGCCCUUGACUUUGGGAUAACUUCGGGAAACUGGGGCUAAUACCGGAUAGGAGCUCCUGCUGCAUGGUGGGGGUUGGAGAGUUUCGGCGGUUGGGGAUGGACUCGCGGCUUAUCAGCUUGUUGGUGGGGUAGUGGCUUACCAAGGCUUUGACGGGUAGCCGGCCUGAGAGGGUGACCGGCCACAUUGGGACUGAGAUACGGCCCAGACUCCUACGGGAGGCAGCAGUGGGGAAUAUUGCACAAUGGGCGGAAGCCUGAUGCAGCAACGCCGCGUGCGGGAUGACGGCCUUCGGGUUGUAAACCGCUUUCGCCUGUGACGAAGCGUGAGUGACGGUAAUGGGUAAAGAAGCACCGGCUAACUACGUG